rnacentral:rRNA from 1 species
UACCAGCACCCCGAGUGGUCGGGACGUUUAUUGGGCCUAAAGCAUCCGUAGCCGGUUCUACAAGUCUUCCGUUAAAUCCAACUGCUUAACAGGUGGGCUGCGGAAGAUAUUAUAGAGCUAGGAGGCGGGAGAGGCAAGCGGUACUCGAUGGGUAGGGGUAAAAUCCGUUGAUCCAUUGAAGACCACCAGUGGCGAAGGCGGCUUGCCAGAACGCGCUCGACGGUGAGGGAUGAAAGCUGGGGGAGCAAACCGG